CGGGGGGGGGGGAGGUCCCUCAGCCCGGAUUGUGAGAGGGUGCAGGCCAGGCCGAGGCACCCCACCGGUGCAUG
rfam:Myotis lucifugus cont2.38302, whole genome shotgun sequence.